rnacentral:lncRNA from 1 species
GUGUGGGAGUGUGUAAAUGUGGGGCAGUGUGUGUGUGUUUAUGGGGCAGUGUGUGUGUGUGGGGCACUGUGUGUGUGUGUGGGGCAGUGUGUGGGGCACUUUGUGUGUGUGUAUGGGGCAGUGUGUACGUGUGUGUCACCGUGUGUACACAUGUGUCACUGUGUGUGUGUGUGUGGCACCGUGUACACGUGUGGCACUGUGUGUGGGGCAGUGUGUGUGUGUAUGGGGCAGUGUGUACACGUGUGUCACACUGUGUGUGUGUGUGUGUGUCACCGUGUGUAGACAUGUGUCACACUGUGUAUAUGUGUCACACUCUGUACCCAUGUGUCACCGUGUGUACACGUGUGACACUGUGUGUGUGUGUGUCACCGUGUGUACACGUGUGUCACCGUGUGUACGUGUGUCACCGUGUGUACGUGUGUCACCGUGUGUACGUGUGUCACCGUGUGUACAUGUGUCAC